rnacentral:rRNA from 1 species
GACGAACGCUGGCGGCGUGCCUAAUACAUGCAAGUAGAACGCUGAAGGAGGAGCUUGCUCUUCUGGAUGAGUUGCGAACGGGUGAGUAACGCGUAGGUAACCUGCCUGGUAGCGGGGGAUAACUAUUGGAAACGAUAGCUAAUACCGCAUAAGAGUAGAUGUUGCAUGACAUUUGCUUAAAAGGUGCAAUUGCAUCACUACCAGAUGGACCUGCGUUGUAUUAGCUAGUUGGUGGGGUAACGGCUCACCAAGGCGACGAUACAUAGCCGACCUGAGAGGGUGAUCGGCCACACUGGGACUGAGACACGGCCCAGACUCCUACGGGAGGCAGCAGUAGGGAAUCUUCGGCAAUGGACGGAAGUCUGACCGAGCAACGCCGCGUGAGUGAAGAAGGUUUUCGGAUCGUAAAGCUCUGUUGUAAGAGAAGAACGAGUGUGAGAGUGGAAAGUUCACAAUGUGACGGUAUCUUACCAGAAAGGGACGGCUAACUACGUG